GUGUCUUCUGUGAAUGAGAAUACCACCUCUGGCUUCUCUGCAUCUCCCAACAGUGCUGGGUACACAGCAAACUUCUCUUGUCUAACGGCAGUGUGGUGUUUCUGGUUUAUUUGGCUUCAGUGCCAAACAUCGUUGUUCACAUCUUCAGUGCAACAACAGUGAAAAAUUAGAGUUCCUGUUUUAGUUGGCUUCUCUUCAUUGGAAGAAACAGAUUCACUCAAGUGACUUCAAGAAGAAUAGAGUUUAUUAUGAGGAUGCAGGUAAAAGAGCAUUUGUGGGGCCGGGCUCGGUGUCUCACACCUGUAAUCCCAGCACUUUGGGAGGCCAAGGCAGGUGGAUCACAAGGUCAGGAGUUCAAGACCAGCCUGGCCAAUAAGGUCUGAGCUCCCCUCGGAGCUACCUAGGCAUGCGACAGACCCCAAACAACACUGCAGCCUUUGAAAACUGAAAGGAGACAGGAAUCACUAUCCACAGAAAGCCAGACAGAACUUCCAGAAUGUCAGGCCUCUGAGCCCAAGCCAAGCCAAGCCAUCGCAUCCCCUGUGACUUGCAUGUACACAUCCAGAUGGCCUGAAGUAACUGAAGACACAAAAGAAGUAAAAAUAGCCUUAACUGAUGACAUUCCACCAUUGUGAUUUGUUUCUGCCCCACCCUAACUGAUCAAUGUACUUUGUAAUCUCCCCCACCCUUAAGAAGGUACUUGGUAAUCAAUCUCCCCCACCCUUAAGAAGGUUCUUUGUAAUUCUCCCCACCCUUGAGAAUGUAUUUUGUGAGAUCCACCCCUGCCUGCAAAACAUUGGUCUUAACUUCACCGCCUAUCCCAAAACCUGUAAGAACUAAUGAUAAUCCACCACCCUUUGCUGACUCUCUUUUCGGACUCAGCCCACCUGCACCCAGGUGAUUAAAAGCUUUUAUUGCUCACACAAAGCCUGUUUGGUGGUCCCUUCACAUGGAUGCGCAUGAAACAGAGAACAUGCAAGAAUGGCAACCAUGCUGUCAAGGGUUCCAACACCUCUCUGGC
rnacentral:lncRNA from 10 species